rnacentral:rRNA from 1 species
UACGUAGGGGGCAAGCGUUGUCCGGAAUCAUUGGGCGUAAAGCGCGCGUAGGCGGCCCGGUAAGUCCGCUCUGAAAGUCCAGGGCUCAACCCUGAAAAGCGGGUGGAUACUGCCGGGCUAGAGUCCGGAAGAGGCGAGUGGAAUUCCUGGUGUAGCGGUGGAAUGCGCAGAUAUCAGGAAGAACACCCGUGGCGAAGGCGGCUCUCUGGGACGGUACUGACGCUGAGACGCGAAAGCGUGGGGAGCGAACAGG